rnacentral:rRNA from 1 species
UACGGGGGGGGCAAGCGUUGUUCGGAAUUACUGGGCGUAAAGGGCGCGUAGGCGGCCUGCUAAGUCGAACGUGAAAUCCCCGGGCUCAACCCGGGAACUGCGUCCGAUACUGGCAGGCUUGAAUCCGGGAGAGGGAUGCGGAAUUCCAGGUGUAGCGGUGAAAUGCGUAGAUAUCAGGAGGAACACCCAUGGCGAAGGCAGCUUACUGGGCAUUAUCUGACGCUGAGGUGCGAAAGCGUGGGGAGCAAACAGG